rnacentral:lncRNA from 1 species
GGUGAGCCUCGCAGUUGAUUCAGAGUGUUUGUUUGUGAAUGGACGUCAGAGCAAUGGUUGUCACUGUUUCUAUACGAAUCACGGUUCGCUCUAUUCGGUCCAGAUUGCAGCCGGACUCUGCUUGCUGACCCUGCCUGUUAUUGAUAUGGGCGAAGUGAAGUCGUGGUUAUUUCUUUCUCUGGCAAACACUCGGGUUUGAGGCAUCUUUAUGUCACAGUUUGGCAGUCAGUUCCGGCUGACCCCGGAGCAAUCAAGUGUGUCGACACUCAAUGCACCCUCUGAUGGUGGCGGGACGAAAUCGGACCAUAUCCGUCGGCGUUCACUAUUCCGCUUACAACCGAGUUGAAAUGCCAUGUGUUCCCGUUCAUAGUAAACAUGGGUUCCUUGAAGGCUCCCCCACGGUUUGUACAUACUUGACUCCUCAGUUUAACUUGAGGAGUGCUUUGUUUACAGUUUGUGUCGCCCCGGAAAGGGACGCUUUUCUGUAGCGGAAAUGAUUUGUACGUCACGUGGACGAUGCAAUCACCUGGCAGGUGCGACUCGUCUGAAAUGGAAGACAAAACAUUGGAGCUGACACCGGUGUAAGUUUUCAUAACAGGGUAUAUGAUCUCUCCCAUGUACUACUUUUUGCGGCAGUGGUUCCUGCUGACCAGGUCUGUGAUCGCGGUCUCGUUUGCGUUUGGCUUACCAUUCUUUAGAAAAGGCGUGAUGCACAACAGCCAGACCUCACCUCAAUGUUAAGCUGUGUAUAAGCAGUUAAGGCGUAACGUUCGGAAAACCGCUCUGGGAUAGGAUGGUGUUGUGUGCUUUUUGCGUGUAGCUGUUUGUCGGAAUUGCCGCUUCUGUAAGUGCUACUGACCAUGCAUUAAGUUAUGGCAUUGGACACUUGGUAGUUAACAGAGUUUCACCCGUAGGACAGACGCUUAACGCCUGACGACAUCUGCUGUGCAACUCACGAGCAAGCAUGCGAUACCGAGCGGGCUGGUUCAGACUUGCUUAAACGCGUAGUAUGGGUCGACGCGUGCGCCUCUUUGUCGAGCAAUUGACAGCUUCCAG